ensembl:snoRNA
AGCCAAUGAUGUUUCUAAGAGUAGUGGACAGAAGAAUUUUCUGACAUAUAUUGCACUGAGGCU